AAAUAUCAAACGUAAGAUUCUUAUCAUUUGUUUUUUUAUUUAUUUAUUUUUUUUUCAUUUCUUUUUGUUGUUCCUUUUUAUUAUGAUCGUUUGAUUAUUAAAAAAUAAAUCAUCAUUUUUUAUACCUAUUAUUUUUAUUAAUCAAAGAGCUCCAUCUUUGUAACUUUCGAAUGCCCGACGAUAAACACUACGCUGAUCUUUUAGAUAUUAGAACGAAACUGUACUAUGAUACUAUGAAAAGAAUAACAAUGAAAUUUUUAUCGUUAUGUUUUUAUUAAUCAUUUUAUUACCCAUUGAUUAUUUUUAUCGACAGGUAAUUCUUCGUAUAAAUUUUGAUAAGUUCGAUUAAUUAAACAUUUCAUUGACUCUAUCUCGCAAGCUCACUGAAAUUUCAAUUUUGACGUUGAUAUAUACCAAAUACAUUGUUAUUUUCACGUAACAAAAUAAUACAUAAUACAAGAUAUUUAUCGAUUAAACGUUAAUCAUAUUGGUCUUUUACGUAAUAAAUAAAUAAAUAAAUAAAUAAAUAAAUAAUCGUAAGUAUCAUUAAUUUUUUAUAACAUUUUUACGUUAUUUAUUAACGUUGAUUACUUUAAACACUUGUACAUAUGUACGUAGUUAAUAAACGUUGAUACUCUUCAUCCGGUAUCUCUUCUAGUCUUUGAACCAAGGAAUUUGAGAAGACGGAAGUCGUGAGUAUAGAGUAAAAAAAAAAAAGAAAUCGUUAAAAUAACAACGUAAUUGAAUUAAUACGUCGUCUAUAUACGAAUUUCCUAUCGAUGGUAAAAUAAAUGAGAGACAAACGCGAAAAGAUUCUUUAACAUUUCUUUUUUGAGGUUAAAUAGGGAUUCUCGUACUUGAGAAAAUGUUAAGAACCACUGACCUGCAUAUACAUACAUAUGUACGUAACAUACAUACAUAUGUAUCUUCUUAGCUUUUCUUAGGUACGUCGCUAAUAAUAAUAAUAAAAUCGACGUUUUAUAUAAAAAGAACAUUAAGGAUCAAAGAAAUAUGUUAACUUUUGUACGAGCAACGACCGAGCAAAGCAACGAACAGUGAAAUCGAUCGAAAUACGGAUUUCGAGUAACUCCGAGAGAAAGAAAGAGAGAGAGAGGGUGAGUGAGUGAGUGAGAGAGAGAGAGAGAGAGAGAGAGAGAGAGAGAGAGAGAAUGGGGAGAGGGAAUAUAGGUAUAAAAGAAAUAUUAUUAUUAUUUACCAUUAUACUCUCGAUUCAAACGUUUGUAUACACAUCAUAUGACCUACACACGUAUGUACGCAAAGAGGGAUCGUGUUCGCUGUAAUACGACGUAAAAUCAGGUAAAUAAAUAUGAAAAAGUUAAUAUUUUCGUCGUUGUGGUAGUUCUUCCUACGUAAACAGUCGAUUCGUAACCUACAUUCUAUCUCGGACCGUGAUAAGAGUCUGACGUAACAAGUGUUCAGAAAUUAGCCCCUUUUUAAAAGGUACAUUCGCGUUUUCUAGGCAAAAGAGUAAGAGGAGAAGAGAAAGAGGAAGCGAAAGAUAAAGAGAAAGAGAAAGAAGAGUGGGAGAUUGGAGAAGUAGAGGUAAUAGAAGGAGCAAAAGAAGUAGUAGUAGUACUAGAAGAGGAAGAAGGAAGAAGUAGAAGAGCAUACAAACAUAAUUAAACCAUGAUGAUGCAUCCAUCGUUAAACUGUUAUUGCAUCAAGAGUUAUCAGAGGGUUGAGUCUUUGAACUACAUUUUCAAGGAUUCCAACGUUGUCAAGAGCCC